rnacentral:rRNA from 1 species
GACGAACGCUGGCGGCGUGCUUAACACAUGCAAGUCGAACGGUGUGGCGAACGGGUGAGUAACACGUGGGUGAUCUGCCUUGCACUUCGGGAUAAGCUUGGGAACCUGGGUCUAAUACCGGCUAUUGCAAGCUGAGCUCGCGGCCUAUAAGCUUGUUGGUGGGGUAAUGGCCUACCAAGUCGUCGACGGGUAGCCGGCCUGAGAGGGUGUACGGGCACAGUGGGACUGAGAUACGGACCAGAGUCCUACGGGAGGCAGCAGUGGGGAAUAUUGCACAAGGGGCGGAAGCCUGAUGCAGCGACGCCGCGUGGGGGAGGAAGGCCUUCGGGUUGGAAACUCCUUUCGACAGGGACGCGGUACCUGUAUAAGAAGCACCGGCUAACUACGUGCCAGCAGCCGCGGUAAUAC